rnacentral:ncRNA from 2 species
CUCUUAUCAAGAGAGGUGGAGGGAUGUGCCCGAUGAAGCCCGGCAACCGGCAAAGCAAUUGCUUUGAAAAGGUGCCAAUUCACACAAAGCGGAUUGCUUUGGGAGAUGAGAG